CCUCCGAUAGUGUAGUGGUCAUCACUCCUGGUUUUGAAGUCGCAUUCGAAUUCCAGGCAACCCCGGUUCGAACCCGGGUCAGAGGU